GUAGGUGAACCUGCGGAAGGAUCAUUAAUAAAUGCUUCAUUGCAUCCACCUUUUGUGCACUGUAAAUAUUUCACUUGAAUUUUGUCUGAUUAAUCUUUGUUCUGAAAGGAACAUGAAUUAUAAUCUAAUACAACUUUUAACAAUGGAUCUCUUGGCUCUCGCAUCGAUGAAGAACGCAGCAUCUGACUGACUAAUACACUGUCCA
rnacentral:misc_RNA from 1 species